rnacentral:rRNA from 1 species
GCCCAGGUAGUUCGUACAGCAGGUUCACCUCGACCAACCAACUGGAUUCCCCCGGCUGGAGAUCACUUCAAGAUUAACACUAAUGCUGCGGUGUCAAGAUGGGGAGGUAAGGGGGCUGUAGCAGCUAUAUGUCGUGAUGAACAAGGUAACUUUCUUGGAGCCUCUUCGGUUUUGGUCAACAAUAUAGAAGAUCCGGAGACUCUAGAAGUGAUGGCGAUCAGAGAAGCUAUGGCCUUAGCAAAUGAUCUAUAUAUAUCCAAAAAAAAUCGGUGGCAUCGGACUGUAAGAUUGCGGUCGAAGCAGUAA